AUGCACGUUCAGGUCCCAUCCCAUCCCGCCAACAACCAUAUAUACCACCUCCUGCAAAGCCAGCCACACCCCAUCCAUCUCCAUCACCUGGGUAGCAACACAGUCUUCAUGGCGGCGGUCAAGAUCGCCGUCCUCCUGGCCGCGACGACGGCGCUCUUCGCCGCCGCGGCAGGGGCGGCGGACCCCCAGCCCCCGCAGCUCGCAACGGAAGCCCAGUGCUGGCCGUGCUACUCCUCCUGCAUGCAGACGUGCGACGCCCACGGCGGCACCCCCGCCCCCGAUGUCGUCAACUCUACCGACGGUAGUGCAGUUGUUGCACACUCCACCGUCGGCGCUCCAGCUGUCAUCCACAAAACCGACGAUGGUUCAGCCGCCCCCGUUGCUGACGGCUAUGACGACAAAGGCGGCAACAAAGGUGGCGGCGGGGAUGACUACGAGAAAUACUUCGAGUGCAAGAAGAAGUGCAUCGUCGGUUGCUACAAGGACCUGCCGCCGGUGUGCUACAAGAUGUGCGUCUCCCAGACCUGCCUCACCCUGCCACCAUGUAAACGAGGGGAUUGCUUCAAAGCAUGCGGGAUCAAAUGCUUCCACAACCAGCCGUACCCCGGGCCAAACCCGGGUCCAACACCUCCUAGGCCCAUGCCACCGCCGCCAUCACCUCCGAAGCCCAUGGCCGCGGCCGUCGCCCAUGCCACCGAAGCCAUCCCCGCCGAAGGCCGCUGCCAAAGCCAAUGGCUACUAGUUGUAUCCGCGUCGAGCAACACUAGCAACAACUGA
rnacentral:rRNA from 1 species